rnacentral:rRNA from 1 species
GUCGAACGAGAAUCUACUGAAAGAGUCUUCGGACAAUGGAUGUAGAGGAAAGUGGCGGACGGGUGAGUAACGCGUGAGGAACCUGCCUUGAAGAGGGGGACAACAGUUGGAAACGACUGCUAACACCGCAUGACGCAUAGAGGUCGCAUGAUCUUUAUGCCAAAGAUUUAUCGCUUCAAGAUGGCCCCGCGUCUGAUUAGCUAGUUGGCGGGGUAACGGCCCACCAAGGCGACGAUCAGUAGCCGGACUGAGAGGUUGAACGGCCACAUUGGGACUGAGAUACGGCCCAGACUCCUACGGGAGGCAGCAGUGGGGAAUAUUGGGCAAUGGGCGCAAGCCUGACCCAGCAACGCCGCGUGAAGGAAGAAGGCUUUCGGGUUGUAAACUUCUUUUAAGAGGGAAGAGCAGAAGACGGUACCUCUAGAAUAAGCCACGGCUAACUACGUGCCAGCAGCCGCGGUAAUACGUAGGUGGCAAGCGUUGUCCGGAUUUACUGGGUGUAAAGGGCGUGCAGCCGGGUCUGCAAGUCAGAUGUGAAAUCCAUGGGCUCAACCCAUGAACUGCAUUUGAAACUGUAGAUCUUGAGUGUCGGAGGGGCAAUCGGAAUUCC